rnacentral:rRNA from 1 species
AACGAACGCUGGCGGCAUGCCUAACACAUGCAAGUCGAACGAGACCUUCGGGUCUAGUGGCGCACGGGUGCGUAACGCGUGGGAACCUGCCCUUAGGUUCGGAAUAACUCCCCGAAAGGGGUGCUAAUACCGGAUAAUGUCUUCGGACCAAAGAUUUAUCGCCUUUGGAUGGGCCCGCGUUGGAUUAGCUAGUUGGUAGAGUAAAAGCCUACCAAGGCGACGAUCCAUAGCUGGUCUGAGAGGAUGAUCAGCCACACUGGGACUGAGACACGGCCCAGACUCCUACGGGAGGCAGCAGUGGGGAAUAUUGGACAAUGGGCGAAAGCCUGAGCCAGCAAUGCCGCGUGAGUGAUGAAGGCCUUAGGGUUGUAAAGCUCUUUUACCCGGGAUGAUAAUGACAGUACCGGGAGAAUAAGCACCGGCUAACUCCGUG